AAUGGGGGAUAACGUAGCGAAAGUUACGCUAAUACCGCAUAUGCCCUGAGGGGGAAAGUGGGGGAUCGCAAGACCUCACGUUUUCGGAGCGGCCGAUAUCAGAUUAGCUAGUUGGUGGGGUAAAGGCCUACCAAGGCGACGAUCUGUAGCUGGUCUGAGAGGACGACCAGCCACACUGGGACUGAGACACGGCCCAGACUCCUACGGGAGGCAGCAGUGGGGAAUUUUGGACAAUGGGGGCAACCCUGAUCCAGCCAUGCCGCGUGAGUGAAGAAGGCCUUCGGGUUGUAAAGCUCUUUCGGACAGAAAGAAAUCGCCAUUCCUAAUACGAGUGGUGGAUGACGGUACUGUAAGAAGAAGCACCGGCUAACUACGUGCCAGCAGCCGCGGUAAUACGUAGGGUGCGAGCGUUAAUCGGAAUUACUGGGCGUAAAGCGUGCGCAGGCGGUUUAUUAAGACAGACGUGAAAUCCCCGGGCUCAACCUGGGAACUGCGUUUGUGACUGGUAGGCUAGAGUGUAGCAGAGGGGGGUAGAAUUCCA
rnacentral:rRNA from 1 species